rnacentral:lncRNA from 10 species
AUGCAUUCCGUGGGGUCAAGAGUUGAGGACCAAAUAACCAGGAUCAGCUACCCUGGACAGCCUCUUGGGCUAAAGGGGUAAAAAGCUGAAGGACCCUAAGAGAUCCAGAGCCUAAUGAGGUUGGAAACAACUCUCCUUGUGCAGUCAGGAUUUCCAUGGAGUAAAACGGUCGACUUUCCUCCUCCAUGGAAACCCUUUAUAGUCCUAAGUAUGUCAGAAGUGGCCAGGUUAUGAAUGUGUAUAUUUGGGGAGGGGCAUAUUCUAGCCCUCCCACUGUUCUGGGCUCUCUCAUGGUAAAGAUGUCAAAGGAGCAGAGAAAGGGCAUAGCCCCUUUAUAUAAACUCCUCCUGACACUCCAUCAGAGUGAAAAAUUAACAGGAUGAUUCCAAGAACUUGGUGAGAAGGCAUGUACCCUCUGGUGCUUCACAGAGAGGGAACCUCUUUCCAGUCCCCCAUCCAACACUCUACUUACUCAAUAAAGACCUUUUGGGGACCGGGCCUGAUCUCUAUAUUUUUAUAGUCUAUUUUUGGAUGCCUGAUCUCUGUAUUUUUACAGCCCAUUCCUGCUCAACUAUAAUGGCUUUUGACCGAUUCAGAUUAAUCAGU